GCUUGUCUCAAAGAUUAAGCCAUGCAUGUCUUAGUGUAAAUAACUCUUAUGAAACUGCGAAUGGCUCAUUAAAUCAGUUAUCGUUUAUUUGAUGGUCCCUUACUACAUGGAUAACCGUAGUAAUUCUAGAGCUAAUACAUGCGUCAAGUCCCGACUUUUUGGAAGGGAUGUAUUUAUUAGAUAAAAAACCAAUGCAGGCAACUGCUCUCUUGGUGAUUCAUAGUAACUUUUCGGAUCGCACGACUUCACGUUGGCGACAGUUCAUUCAAAUUUCUGCCCUAUCAGCUUUCGACGGUACUGUAGUGGACUACCGUGGCAUUAACGGGUGACGGAGAAUUAGGGUUCGAUUCCGGAGAGGGAGCCUGAGAAACGGCUACCACAUCCAAGGAAGGCAGCAGG
rnacentral:rRNA from 1 species